rnacentral:rRNA from 1 species
UACAGAGGUCCCGAGCGUUGUUCGGAUUCAUUGGGCGUAAAGGGUGCGUAGGCGGCCUGCUAAGUUUGGUGUGAAAUCCCGGGGCUCAACCCUGGAAUGGCAUUGAAUACUGGCGGACUAGAGUACCGGAGAGGAAACUGGAAUUUACGGUGUAGCAGUGAAAUGCGUAGAGAUCGUAAGGAAGACCAGUGGCGAAGGCGAGUUUCUGGACGGUAACUGACGCUGAGGCACGAAGGCCAGGGGAGCAAACGGG